AAUCAUGAGCCUAUAACAAUGUUG
rnacentral:siRNA from 1 species